UUGUAGUUGAGGUCCUUAGAUGAAGAAAAGUCAUAAGUUUUAUAAAAGUAAAUGGGUAACCAAGGUAGUAUGUUAUUCUAUGAUAUUCCAAGUUUAUUAGUGCUAUGUGUUCCUAGUUAAUACCCUAGAGUUUCCAAGUGUGGAGAAGCCUAAGUAUGUCAUAUAUGGUGCUCUUGAGAGCUGAAUAAAGAGGAUUAUAAGUUGACGAUGUUGAGCCUCUUAGUACAAUUUUAAUUUCCAUUAGAGUGGGUGGAUAAGAAUUUAGAGAUGUGUGUGAGUAGACUAAGAUGGGAAGUUCAGGUAAAGAGGAAGUGGUUAUGUAUUCCAAUGAGAACAUAAAUUAUAAAAUAAUGACUGCAAAGUUUAGAGGAAGUUAAGAGAAGUACCUCAAGAGGAAGUCCUAGCAAGGGUUGUAUGCCUAAAGAUGUAGUCUAUCGGGGGAGUAAGGUGAUGAUAGCUCGGAUUUGAGAAUAGGUUCGCAUACUUUAAAUGUCAAACUUGACCUAAGGGAGAGAUAAUAAGGUAAUAAACAAAAUUGGGUCUUGAGAUGCAGAUAGUAAGGGUUUUUAGGAAAGAGAGAUGACGAGUUUCAUUAUGGUUUAUUCUUAUUCUAGCAUAUUUCAUGACUUUAGCCAAGAUGACACUUUAUCCAUAUCUUAUGCAUUCAUGUCAUGCCUAUGUCUAAGAUCCAAAUUUUAUAUGAAAACUCAUGUCCAUGUACUAACCCUUGAAUAGGAAACAAUAACUUCACAUCACGAUCCUAAUCUUACUCUAAGGUUCUAGGAAUACAAGUUAUAUGUUACUAUAUUUCGGAGCCAUGAACCCAUGCUUUACGUUAUGUUCUAUCCUAAGAAACAAUACUUUAAGAUAUGUUCCUAGUUUGUUCUAUGUCCUGACUAUGACCAGAAUGACUCUUUGUUUAGGUUUUAUGUAUUUGAUAUAUGAAAUAUUCAUACCUACUAUGCUUUAUUCCCAGUUCACAUCUUUAUUAGCAAGGUCAUGAUAAGUAUUAGUAAUAAUUGAGCAGUAUCCCGUCUAUUCCUGGUGCUCAUAUUCUAGACCUUCAACGCUAUUCCUUAUGUCAUGGUAGUGGUAGGAUAUCAACUGAGUAAUGGUUGGAUAGGAGUGAGUAAAUGUUUUUUGUUGUGAUGAUUAUGGAGUACCAUUUCAUCUAAGAUCUUAAGCAUGGAUGAAGUGCGAGAUGAGGAUUGGUCAUAUGUAAUAGUUAUAUAAGUUCAUAUGUUGUGUCCCAUGGUAGGAGUACAUAAAAUUGUGGUUCAUAGAGGUUCUGGGGUAGAUAGAGAAGAUUUUUCUUUAUAUAUAGUAUUAACUGGGAAGAAACCAUGUUGUUAUAGUAAUGAGCUUGGAUAUCACGUCUGUAAUGACCCGAGACUACCCCUGUAAGGCCCCGAAAUAUCAUCCCAAGAUGCCACACGGUGCCCAAGGCUACACGUAGCCUCAAUCUAACCCUUUAAGCCAAAACACUACCCUUGGGUUCCAACACAACAAUAUACACGCUACACUAAGGAUAUAUAUAUAAGUACAUAUCAUAUCACAUCACACAUGGCACGAAAUAUCGUUAGACUAUACAUAUAUAAAAUAUCUAUACACAACACAACCCAAAAAUACACUAGUCUAACAUAACCUCUAUACAACAAAAUCAACGAGCCAUUGGGACAAACCCCCAACUGACUCAACAGACCAAAGGGAUCACAAAACAACAGUACCAAAACUAGCAACUUGGUCCUCGAACCAUGAGGACUCACCACUGAAGGAACGUAGAUGCGACACUCGAAUAUCACUGUCGAGGUUGAGUACCUGAACCUACAUCAUGGUAAGAAUAUAGCCCAUAGAGAAAUAUGUGGGUCAACACAAGAUACGUACUAAGUAUAUGGGGGCACAUGCAAAAUAUAAAUAAUAUCACAAAUUUCAUAAAAACGUACGUACGGACCAUAAUGAUACACCUGGCUUGAGUGACAUUGAAUCAUGAAACUCAUAACAUCUUAGAUAGGAAAUGUAGGAGAAAAACCUCAUAAAUCAUUAUAGAUCAUUAUAGGCAACUUGACUUACCACAUCAAAACUCGGAGUGACUCGGUAUUUUAAUAAACAUGACUCUUAUGGACAGGGNNNNNNNNNNNNNNNNNNNNNNNNNNNNNNNNNNNNNNNNNNNNNNNNNNNNNNNNNNNNNNNNNNNNNNNNNNNNNNNNNNNNNNNNNNNNNNNNNNNNNNNNNNNNNNNNNNNNNNNNNNNNNNNNNNNNNNNNNNNNNNNNNNNNNNNNNNNNNNNNNNNNNNNNNNNNNNNNNNNNNNNNNNNNNNNNNNNNNNNNNNNNNNNNNNNNNNNNNNNNNNNNNNNNNNNNNNNNNNNNNNNNNNNNNNNNNNNNNNNNNNNNNNNNNNNNNNNNNNNNNNNNNNNNNNNNNNNNNNNNNNNNNNNNNNNNNNNNNNNNNNNNNNNNNNNNNNNNNNNNNNNNNNNNNNNNNNNNNNNNNNNNNNNNNNNNNNNNNNNNNNNNNNNNNNNNNNNNNNNNNNNNNNNNNNNNNNNNNNNNNNNNNNNNNNNNNNNNNNNNNNNNNNNNNNNNNNNNNNNNNNNNNNNNNNNNNNNNNNNNNNNNNNNNNNNNNNNNNNNNNNNNNNNNNNNNNNNNNNNNNNNNNNNNNNNNNNNNNNNNNNNNNNNNNNNNNNNNNNNNNNNNNNNNNNNNNNNNNNNNNNNNNNNNNNNNNNNNNNNNNAAAACCAUAUUUCCAAUUCAUGGUAAAACAUGUAAAAUCUCAUGUCAACGUAAUUCAACAAAAAUACCGGGCACAAGAUAGAAAGCAUAAUCUUGUUCAAAGCCCCACAUACCUAAAAAUGGAAGAUGAAUAUGAACUUCCAACUCCGGAACUUUAUUCAUGAAAAUAAAGAGUGCUUCUCGAAGCCCUUAACAUGAUCAACUUGAAUCCCAAAUCAAUUUGAAAUUUCUACGGUUCAAUCAAGAGACAUAGAAGGAUAAAAUUUGGAGUAGUAGGGUUGGGGUUUGAGCCUUAGGAAAUUUUGGAGAAAAAUGAGCUAUUGAAUGCUCUUAAUGGACUUAAACCCAUGGUUUACCCAGAUAUAUUGGAGUGGAAAUGACCAAAAUACACUUGAAAAUCAAAUAAUGUCAAAUCUGUCCUUUGGUGGACUGGUUUGAUAGGCUGAAGUAGAUCGACCAUAACCUUUUGCUCCGAUGGCCAAAUUGGAUGAAACUAAUUUCAUUGGAAAGAGGACUUUCAGAGAUUUCUGCUGAUAUAUAGUAGAUAACCCAGAUCAUUAUGUACAAGGAGUUAUGAUCGUUUGAGUUGACCCUAAAAUUCGCCUGGCCUCAACAUUUUUUUCCUGCACAUUUACUGUUCACCACUAUUCAUGGUUAGAUCGGAAUGAUCAUAACUCAUCGCUCGAGUGUCUGUUUUGAAUGAUCCACAUAUCGUUGAAAAUCGUAUUCGAUGCUCUACGCGAUGAAGGGUUGCAUAUCUAGAAAUUCCAUAUAGAAAAAUUAUUAAUCAUGAUAAAGAAUAGAAUUCAACACAUUUUCGUCCGAGAUCUUAACGGAAAUUUUUUUUGGGGCAUCACAUUAUCUCUCCCUUGGAAACAUUCAUCCUCGAAUGUUGAUAGGUAGGUCAAGAAUACAAUGAAAAUGAGUAUAUAGAGAAAAAUCAUCUUUCCCAAGCAUAUACUCCAUUCUAGAUUUUUUUGAAUAUUGUAGCAAAACACGCAAGCCAAGAUAAACAUAGCAAUAAGGAUUAAAUCAAAAGAGAACGAUACCUCUGACAUGCUCAGGAUUCGUAGAAAAGAGGUGGGGAUAUUUGGCGCGCAUAUUCGCUUCGGCUUCCCAAGUAGCACUCUCCACGGAUUAAUUUCGCCAAAGCACUUUAACCAAAGGAACUUCCUUGUUUCUUAGCCUACGAACUUGAAAGUCAAAACCUCAACCAGAAUUUCUUCAUAUGAAAGAUUAUCUUGAAUACCCAAGCUUUCGGAAGGAUCAAUCACAAUAGAAUCACCAAUAGACUUCUUAAGCAUACAAACAUGGAAAACCGGAUGGAUGUUAGAUAACUCCGCAGGAAAUUCAACCUUAUACGCAACCUUCCCAAUGCAAUCCACAAUCUUAGAGGGACCAAUGUAACGGGGACUUAGUUUCCCUUUCUUUCCAAAUCUCUUCACCCCUUUCAUGGGUGAAACUUUCAAGUACACUAAAUCACCAACAUCAAAUUCAAGGUCUUUCCUCCUUACAUCUGCGGGUCCUCACCUUCUCUCGACCCAUGAAACUCUGGUGGAUUCAUUUGCAUAAAGUCACGAAUUCAUACUGCUGCCGAAUUAUUUUCCUACAGAGAUAGAGCGUUGGCCUAAGUAUUGGCGGUAACUGCCCGGGCUAGCGUCUGAAAAGCUGCCCGAAAUUUGGCAUGGGAUACCGUCUCAUGUAGCGGAUCAACGGGUUUAGGUUGGUUGUUGUUUCCGCGAGCUCGAUGUGGAGGCAUUUUCUGUCAUAAGAACGCACGAAUUAACAACAGAAGGAAAUAGUUCUAAGUAUGAUAGACUCUUGUAGAAAGAAAGAAAUGACUUUUCCUAGAACACCCNNNNNNNNNNNNNNNNNNNNNNNNNNNNNNNNNNNNNNNNNNNNNNNNNNNNNNNNNNNNNNNNNNNNNNNNNNNNNNNNNNNNNNNNNNNNNNNNNNNNNNNNNNNNNNNNNNNNNNNNNNNNNNNNNNNNNNNNNNNNNNNNNNNNNNNNNNNNNNNNNNNNNNNNNNNNNNNNNNNNNNNNNNNNNNNNNNNNNNNNNNNNNNNNNNNNNNNNNNNNNNNNNNNNNNNNNNNNNNNNNNNNNNNNNNNNNNNNNNNNNNNNNNNNNNNNNNNNNNNNNNNNNNNNNNNNNNNNNNNNNNNNNNNNNNNNNNNNNNNNNNNNNNNNNNNNNNNNNNNNNNNNNNNNNNNNNNNNNNNNNNNNNNNNNNNNNNNNNNNNNNNNNNNNNNNNNNNNNNNNNNNNNNNNNNNNNNNNNNNNNNNNNNNNNNNNNNNNNNNNNNNNNNNNNNNNNNNNNNNNNNNNNNNNNNNNNNNNNNNNNNNNNNNNNNNNNNNNNNNNNNNNNNNNNNNNNNNNNNNNNNNNNNNNNNNNNNNNNNNNNNNNNACUCAACAGACCAAAGGGAUCACAAAACAACAACACCAAAACUAGCAACUUGGUCCUCGAACCAUGAGGAGUCACCACUGAAGAAACGUAGAUGCGGCACUCGGAUAUCACUGUCGCGGCUGCAGUUGAGUACCUGAACCUACAUCAUGGUAAGAAUGUAGCCCAUAGAGAAAUAUGUGGAUCAGCCCAAGAUACGUACUGAGUAUGUAGGGGCGUAUGCAAAUAUAAAUAAUAUCAUAAAUUUCAUAAAAACGUACAUACGGACCAUAAUGACACACCUGGCUUGAGUGGCAUUGAAUCAUGAAACUCAUAACAUCUUAGAUAGGAAAUGUAGGAGAAAAACCUCAUAAAUCAUUAUAGAUCAUCAUAGGCAACUUGACUUACCACAUCAAAACUUGGAGUGACUCGGUAUUUCAAUAAACAUGACUCUUAUGGACAGGGGAGUUUUCUAUAACCGAUAACCCCACAUGAGCUACGUGGAAUACCAAUGUUUGAAACCCCCGUUGGCGGGAGCGUUAUACUCUUUACCAGGGAGUACGACCUUAAAACUGCAAUAAACACAAUUGGGCUCUCUGGUCAAUAAUAUCAUCAUCAAACAACCCUACGGUGACACAUAGGUUUAGGGAAAUACCAAAUUUCCCUCUCGGUGCUAAGUACUACUCCCCGACAAGCUCANNNNNNNNNNNNNNNNNNNNNNNNNNNNNNNNNNNNNNNNNNNNNNNNNNNNNNNNNNNNNNNNNNNNNNNNNNNNNNNNNNNNNNNNNNNNNNNNNNNNNNNNNNNNNNNNNNNNNNNNNNNNNNNNNNNNNNNNNNNNNNNNNNNNNNNNNNNNNNNNNNNUUCAAUAUCAAUAUUUCUCAAUUUGCCAUCCAACUCUCAUUUAAAGGUACUUGAGACAUCAACCCAUAGUAGGGAUAUAGAAUUUCCAAUAUCAAUUAUAAAUUCAUAAUAAGGAAAUAGUGGAAUGAUAGUAUAAAUCAAGGCUUAACAAAUUAAAUCAUCAUACUCUCAUAAUCAAAUACUUUUUGGACAUAAUUCCAUCUCAACAUCAUACACAUAUCGGAUGACAUAAUCCCAUAGCUCAUGGACAAUAAUAUAAGAUAUAAAAUCAUAUUUCCAAUUCAUGGUAAAACAUGUAAAAUCUCAUGUUAAUGUAAUUUAACAAAAAUACUGGGCACAAGAUCGAAAGGAUAAUCUUGUUCAAAGCCCCACAUACCUAAAAAUGGAAGAUGAAUAUGAACUUCUGACUCCGAAACUUUAUUAACGAAAAUAAAGGGUGCUUCUCGAAGCCCUUAAUAUGAUCAACUCGAAUCCCAAAUUAAUUUGAAAUUUCUACGGUUCAAUCAAGAGACAUAGAAGGAUAAAAUUUGGAGUAGUAGGGUUGGGGUUUGAGACUUAGGAAAUUUUGGAGAAAAAUAAGCUAUUGAAUGCUCUUAAUGGACUUAAAUCCAUGGUUUAACCGGAUGGAUUGGAGUGGAAAUGACCAAAAUAUCCUUAAAAAUCAAAUAAUGUCAAAUCUGUCCUUUGGUGGACUGGUUUGAUAGGCUGAAGUAGAUCGACCAUAACUUUUUGCUUCGAUGGCCAAAUUGGAUGAAACUAAUUUCAUUGGAAAGAGAACUUUCAGAGAUUUCUGUUGAUAUAUAGUAGCUCACCCAGAUCAUUAUAUACAAGGAGUUAUGAUCAUUUGAAGUUGACCCUAAAAUUCGCCUAGCCUCAGUAUUUUUUCCCUGCACAUUUACUGUUCACCACUAUUCACGGUUAGAUCGAAAUGAUCAUAACUCAUCGCUCGAGUGUCUGUGUUGGAUGAUCACGAUAAAGAUCAAAAAUUCCACAUAAAAAAUUAUUAAUCACAAUAAAGAUCAAAAUUCAACAUAUUUUCGUUCGAGAUCUUAACGAAAAAUUUUUCCGGGGUAUCACAACCCCCUAGUUGUUACACAGUGCUUAUGAUCCCGAGAGAAAACAAACUAACCCAUGAGCUGGUACCUGCUAUGAGCACUGAAUCAUAUAAUCAUGAAUGCAGAAUAAUAACUAAAAUGCCAUAAGGUUUUAAUAAUGAAAUAACUAUCGAAUUAUGAAUCUGAUAAAAUACUGAAAUCUGAAUAGUCUGAAUAACUAACUGUAGUGUCUAAAAAUCCUCUAAACUAGAUACUGUGAGUUGAUGGGAUAGGCCCCAACUAACUCUACUAACUAAUGAGAUAAAGACAUAAAGUAAUAUAAUCUAUCCCCAGAUAAUGAGGACUCACCACUGCUACUAUACUGUUGAUAAUUUGAGAGUCUAGGUGCGAUUCAAGAACUGAGCAUCAGUACCUAUGAUAUGAGACAUCAUAGCGCAAAAGAAAAGGUAUGCGACUAGUACUUUGAAUGUACUGGUAUGAUAAAUAAGGUAGGCUGAUAUGCAUGGUCUCAUGAAUAGGAAUGAUAAUAAUUAACUGGACCUACAUGUAAAGCAUAAAGUACUGAAUAAAGAGCAUGGAAUCUGUAGAUACUAAAAAUACAGGAAAAUCUAUAAAUACUACGGAUGCAUGACCAAGCAUAUAACAUGGACUAAGUAAAAUCUGUAAACUAAUGUACUGAGAUAACUGAAAUCUAUAUGCUUUGGUCAAACAACACUAAGACUGAAUAACUGAGCUGGGACAGUGAUUGAGACUAUAUCUGAGACUGUGGGAGGUAUCAUCUAACCGACAUUCCCCAAUUUAAGCUAAUCAAGGUACAACCUGUAAUCUUAGAUGGAAGGGUGAAUACUGUUCCAUGGGUUCUAAUAAUGGCUUUGUGGAUCCACUAAUCUAAUAUAUUGUCCAAAGGACAAAGAGUGUCAAGCCUGAACUGACGGGUAACCCCUGCGAGAUAGUCAAGCCUAGUCUGAUGGGUGGCUACUAAUAUCCUAUGCUGGCUACGUAGUUUUGGAGUAUACGGAUUUCUACUAAUGACUCUAUCUAUCUGAUGGGGAAGACACCAUCCCUACACUCGCACGGUUCUAAAUUCUACUCCUAACUGAAAAACACUGAGAUACUUGACUGUUCUGAGUUGAAUAACUGAUAUCUGAUUAUUUUGAUAAUGCUCAUAAUAUAAUCUGAAGACUAUUCUGUAAUGUACUGAGACUAGACUAAAUAAACAACUAUGGUUUUUGGGUAUUCAAUACCCCCAGGACUCAAAACAACAAUACUGAAAAGACACUAAAGCUUGAAGGCCAAAACAUGAAGGCUGUUAUUAAAUAAAUCACUCUUGUCGGCAUUUUAUCAAACACUUGUACUUCAUAGUUUAGUUAAUUCAUGGGGAAUAGUAUAAAACUUGAAAUAAUAGCACAACUUCAAUAUUUAUAAUGCUAAAUCAUGAUCUAAUUCGAAGAAUAACAAUAUUAAAGCAUGGGGGAUUUGAUAACAACAAUAAUUCCAUUAAAGUAUGGUAUAAAAUCAAUAUUCAUGGAGGUUCAUAGAGAUUCAUAGUUUUAAAUCACAAUUUAAUAUCAUGAGUCUUGAAAAAAAUGAUAGAUUUGUAAUUAAAAUGGAUAGUUCGUCUCCAUGGAUGAAUGGAAUCCAUGGAUGAACAUCUAACAUACCUGGGAUGGUAAAUUUAGAAGGAUUGAUGGAUAGGAUUUCUUGUUCUUGAAAGAAGUGAUUUUUAAUUUUAGAGAAAGUGAAAAAUGAUGAGUAUUUAGGUCAAUUAGGGGCUAAAUUUCAUGUGUAGGGCGAGUUUAGGGCUUAGGAAGAAGACCAAAAUACCCUUAAACAAAUUUUAAAAAAACACAAGAUGGAAACUGAAAUCCUGAUGUCUGGCCUUGGCGCAACGCGCCACUAUCAAUCCAAGCCACUAGAAAAGGGACAACUGGGACCUAGACAAAUGUCGCGAUGCACGACUAUUGUGGUAAGACUGUGGAUGCCAAUUUGGCCAUCUCCUUGACGCGCCAUAAUCACGGAGGCCCACUAGAAAUUUACAAAUAUCAAAUUGACCUAUGGUACGAUAUGCCAGGAUCGCGGACCCUCACUGGAUUUUGCCAAAUGGGAGAUUGGCCAGCUCCGCGAUGCGCUAAAGGUUAAAAUGAUGAUUUUUUUCGAUUGGAAUUUAAAAUUGUCAUAACUUCUUACCCGGUUAUCGGAGUUUGACAAAUUUUAUAUCAUUGGAAAGCUAAUUGAAUUUCCUAUGCAAUGACAGGCUCUAAACUGAAAAAUAAUAAGUGUUUCAAAAUUUCAUAUACGAAUUCUCAUGUAUUGGGACUUAGAUUAUGCUAGAAAAAUAUGGGGUGUUACAAUAUCUCCCUCUUGGGAUCAUUCAUCCCCGAAUGAAACUGGUUAAGCUGAGGGAACUGAUGGACUGAGAUUACACAUUGAAUAUGCAUGUAUGAUGCAUGGAUGCAUGUCUAAUAUGAACAUGAUGUGCAACUGAAACUGAGCAUGAUAGAGAAAAAUCUUAAGAUGAUUUGUUACCUUAUACUGAAUUUGAAUUUGCGGAAAAGAGAUGAGGGCACUUGGUCUGCAUAUCUGCCUCUGCUUCCCAAGUGGCUCCCUCAAUGGACUGAUUUUGCCAAAGAACUUUGACUAGUGGAACUUCUUUGUUCCUUCGUUUACGAACUUGAUGAUCAAGAAUUCCAAUAGUAACUUCCUUAAAGGAAAGACUUUUCUGAAUAUCCACACUUUCUAAAGGAACAACUAUAGCUGGAUCACCAAUACAUUUUUCACCAUUAAGACAUGGAACACUAGGUGUACUGAGGCUAAACCUGAAGGCAACUCUAGCUCGUAAGCUAUUUUUCCAAAAUGACUGAGGAUUCUGAAGGGACGACAUAUCGGUGACUAAGUUUCCCUUUCUUGCGGAAUCUCUUCACUCCCUUUAUGGGAGAGAUUUUCAAGAACAUAAGAUCACCGACCUCAAACUUGAGGUCCUUUCUCCUCAUAUCUGCAUACGAUUUCUGUGGGCUCUGGGCAGCCCUAAGCCUUUCUUUAAUCAACUGAACUUUCUCUAACGCAUCAAACACCAAAUUAGGCCCUACUACUAUGGCCUCACCUACUUUAAACCAACUAAUUGGAGAUCUAAAUCUCCUACCAUAGAGAGCCUCAAACGGAGCCAUACGGAUACUGGAAUAAUAGCUAUUAUUGUAUGCAAAUUCAAUCAAAGGCACAUGGUUAUCCCAACUACCCUUAAAAUAAACAACGCAUGCUCUCAGCAUAUCCUCAAGAGUCUGAAUGGUCCAUUCUGCUUGACCGUCUAUCUGAGGGUGGAAGGAUGUACUGAGGAAGACUUGGGUACCAAGACCCUUUUGGAAUGAUUUCCAGAAGUAAGUGGUAAAAUAAGUACCUCUAUCUGAGAUGAUAGAAAAGGGAACACCGUGCAACCUAACCAACACUCUAAGAUAAAGAUUGGUAUAGUCCUCGACUGAGUAAGAGGUAUGGACUGGCAAGAAAUGAGUUGAUUUAGUCAUCCUGUCUACAAUUAUCCAAAUAGAGUCAUGCUAAUAACGGGUAUGAGGAAAAGCUAUCACAAAGUCUAUGUUCACUUCUUCCCAUUUCCAUAUAGGAAUACUAAACUUCUGUAUGGACCCACUAGGCUUUUGGUGCUCAAUCUUAACUUGCUGGCAUGGAGAGUACUUAGCUACAAACUCUGUAAAAUUUCUUUUCAUCCCACUCCACCAAUAGAUCUCCCACAAAUCACGGUACAUCUUAGUGGCCCCUGGAUGAAUAGAGGAACGCGCACUAUGCACUUCUACAAGAAUUCAUUGCCUCAACUCAUCUACACCAGGUACACACAAUCUACCCCAACAACGCAAAACACCAUCUCUCCCUUAGGAGAAAAUAUCCACUCUCUGAUCUCUGACUGAUUCUUUCAACUUAAUUAGACCAGGAUCUCUAUUCUGCUUUUCCUUCACCUCAAAAACUAGAGAUGACUCUGAGUUACUCUGCACCCAUACACUACCUUCUGCUGAAUCGAGUAAAUGGACACCUCAUCAGGCAAGCUGAUGGACUUCCUGAGCUAACUUCUUCUUACCAUCCUCACCAUGAGCUACACUACCCAUAGACAUUCUACUGAGAGCAUCAGCCACUACAUUGUCCUUGCCCGGAUGAUACAGAAUGCUCAUGUCAUAAUCCUUCAAUAACUCUAACCAUCUUCUCUCACACAAAUUUAAAUAUUUUUAAGAGAACACAUACAGGCUUUUAUGAUCUGUGAACACAUCUACAUGCACCCCAUACAAGUAAUGUCUCUAAAUCUUUAAGGCAAACACUACAGCUGCUAGCUUAAGAUCAUGAGUUAGAUAAUUUUUCUCAAGAGGCUUAAGCUGUCUGGAGGCAUAGGCUAUGACCUUACCUUUCUGCAUGAGGACACAACCCAAACCUCCUCAUGUAGCAUAGUACACAACAAAACCAUUUGAACCGUCUGGUAGAGUAAGAACUGGGGCUGAGGUGAGUCGAGUUUUCAACUCCUAAAAACUCUUCUCGCAUGAAUCUGACCACUAAAACUUAACUUUAUUCUAAGUUAAUCUGGACAUGGGGGAUGCAAUAGAAUAAAAAACUUCAACAAACCAAUGAUAAUAGCCAGGUAAACCUAAGAAACUUUUGAUAUCUGAUGGAGAGAUGGGUCUAGGACAGUUUCUUACCACUUUGAUUUUUUGGGGAUCAACUCUAAUGCCAUCACCAAAAAUAAUAUGGCCAAGGAAAGUUAUUGAUCUUAGCUAGAAUUCACACUUACUAAAUUUAACGAACAAAUGAUGAGCUCUAAGAGUCUGAAGCACUACUCUGAGGUGGUCUUCAUGCUCAUUUUCACUAUGAAAGUAACAAGGAUUUCAUCAAUGAAGUCUAUGACUAACUUGUCCAAGUACUACUUGAACACUCAGUUUAUCAAGUCCAUAAAGGCUACUGGGGCAUUGGUAAGACCAAAGACAUGAUCAGAAAGUCGAAGUGACCAUACCGAGUUUGAAAAGCUAUUUUUGGAAUAUCACAUUCUCUGACUCUAAGUUGAUGAUAGCCUGAUCCGAGGUCUAUCUUGGAAAAGUAACUGGCACCCUGAAGUUGGUCGAACAAGUCAUCAAUUCUAGGAAGUGGGUAUUUAUUCUUGACUAUGACCUUGUUCAACUGACGGUAGUCUAUGAACAUUCUGAGAGAACCGUCUUUCUAAUACACAAAUAAAAUAGGUGCGCCCCAUGUGGAGAUGUUGGGCCUGAUGAAUCCCAUAUCUAGGAGAUCCUUUAACUAUUUUUUCAACUCUUUAAGUUCAGCUGGAGCCAUUCUGUAUGGUAGAAUAGAUAUUGGCUGAGUACCUGGGACAAGUUCUAUUCCGAAGUCGAUUUCCCUAUCGAGAGGAACUCCAAGAAGAACUUCAGGAAACACAUCUAAAAAUUCUUUUACUACUGGGACUGACUCAAGAGCAGGAGUUUCUGAGUUAGAGCCUUUGACUCGUAUAAGAUGGUAGCCACACCUCUUGGAUAUCAUCUUUCUGGCUUUAAGGUAUGAAAUCAACUAAUCCCUAAGAGCUGUAGUACUACCUCUCCAUUCAAGGACUUGUUCAUUUGGGAACUAGAAAUGAACUAUUCUGUUUCUACAAUAAAUUGAGGCAUAGAAUGAGUGGAGCAAUCCAUGCUGAGAAUGACAUUAAAAUCUAUCAUCUCUAAUUCCACGAGAUCAACUGAGGUAAUUUUCUGAGAUAUGAUGAUCAGAAAGUUCCUGUAUAUUUGUCUAGCUACAAUGGAAACACCCAGUGGGGUAGGCACUGAAAAGGGCUUUGCAAAAGAUUUGGGACUGAAUCAGAAAUUGACAGCUAUAUAUGGAGUUACAAAACAAAGAGAAGCUCCAGGGUCUAGUAAAUCAUAAACAUGUAAGUGAAAGACCUGCAAUAUACCAGUAACUACGUCAGGAGAAUUUUCCUGAUCUUGGCAGGAAUGAAGAGCAUAUAAUCUAUUUGGACGCUGACCACUGGUAGCACUGGACGCGACACCCUGCUGAGUUAGGCGGCCGAAUGGAACUGACGACUGAUGGGACUGGCCCUGUUGGCAUGCAUCCCUACCUUUCUGAGCAACUACCUGACACUCUCGAAUUUGAUGUCCUAGAUUUCCACACCCGAAGCAUACAUCACUACCCGCUCUACACUCACCCUGAUGGUGUCUGCCAUACUUUUGACAUGAUGAAUUAGUACGAGCACUGCAACACUGACCUGGGACUUAGAGCCUGGUGCCCUAUCCCUAUUAUUGCUUCUGAAUUUGGGCACUGGGGCACUGGCCAAAGAAGCAACUGGUGCUGAAGACCUCUGAUAAAACUGAGGACGGUUACCACCUUCUAACUUUAGCUGAUUGAAAUUAAAACUACCCAUUCUAGCUCUUUUGUUUCUUCUCUCCCUCUUCUUAAUCUUCUGCUUCUUUAUCUGUUGAGCGUGGACCAUCAGUCUAGACAAGUCCAUCUCACUAAUCAGCAUUACGGUCCUACACUCCUUGACCACACUAUCAGACACGCCGAACACAAACUUAUUCAUCUUGGACCUACUGUCAGCUACAACAUGAGGAGCAUAUCUAGAUAACUGAGUGAACUUGAUAGAAUACUCUAUCACACUCAUGCUACCUUGCCUUAAAUUAAUAAAUUCUAACACUUUUUCCUCCCUCAACUUUAAUGGAAAGAAUCUAUCCAAAAAAUCUAUGGCAAACUUUUCCCAUUCUACUGGUCCUACAUCAACACCUCUAUCAACUUUUCACUGCUUAAACCAAGUAUGGGCUACAUCUUGCAAUUGAUAUGCAACCAACUCAUCACUCUGACUAGACGUUACCCUCAUAGCAUCUAUUACCUUUUGAACCAUAUCUAAGAAUUCCUGUGGAUUCUCUUUAGACUUGGAUCCCCUAAAAGAAGGAGGAUUUAUCUGGGUGAAAUAUUGAAUUCUAGUUGCAGAAGUAUUAGCCACUGGGUUGGCCGAAACAAUAGCUGGUAGUUUAUUCUGUGCUACAAUAGAGUUUGCUAGAGUAGUGAAUGCAACUCUAAAUUCUGUGUGAGAGACAUACUCGUCUAGAGGAUCUUCCUAGACGGGCUGAGUUCCUAUUCUUCUUUCAUUCUUCUUGGGAGGCAUUUUCUAUAAACAGAAGGAAGAAACAGAUUAGACUGAGAGUUUAACUUAAGCUCUUGCUCAAUCGUACGACAUGAAUACUUGAAAGAAAGGAAACAUUUCCUAAAUACCUUGUAGCCUCUCUUUCUUAAGUUUGGAGCACUACACACCCAUGCACAAGACUCUACUCGACGUGGCUUUCAGACUUCCUAGGACACUUUUAAAAUCUUAAGCUCUGAUACCAAGUUUGUAAUGACCCGAGACUACCCUUUAGUCAUUACACGAUGCUUAUGGUCCCGAGAGACCACAAGCUAUCCCAUGAGCUGUUACCUGCUGUGAGCACUAAAUCAUAUAAUUAUGAAUGUAAAAGAAUAACUGAAAUGCCAUAAGAUUUUAAUAAUGAAAUAACUACCGAAUUAUGAAUCUGAUAAAAUACUAAAAUCUGAAUAGUCUGAAUAGCUAACUGUUGUGUCUGAAAAGCCUCUAAACUGGAUAUUAUGAGUUGAUGGGAAAAACCCCAACUAACUCUACUAACUACUGAGAUAAAGACAUAAAGUAAUAUAAUCUGUCUUCGGAUGAUGAGGACUCAACACUGCUACUGUACCACUGAUAAUCUGAGAGUCUAGACUAAGUGUCAGCACCUAUGAUAUGAGACAUCAUAGCGUAAAAGAAAAGGCAUGUGAUCAGUACUUUGAAUGUACUGAUAUGCUAAAUGAGUUAGGCUGAUAUGCAUGGUCUCAUGAAUAGGAAUGAUAAUAAUUAACUGUACCUACAUGUAAAGCAUGGAGUAUUGAAUAAAGAGCAUGGAAUCUGUAUAUACUAAAAAUAUAGGAAAAUUUAUAAAUAUUAAGGAUGCAUGACCAAGCAUAUAACAUGAACUGAGUAAAAUCUGUGAACUGAUAUACUGAGAUAUCUAAAAUCUAUAUGCUUUGGUCAAACAACACUAAGAAUGAAUAACUGAGCUGGGACUAUGACUGAGAUUAUAUCUGAGAUUAUGGGAGGUAUCAUCUAACCGACAUUCCCCAAUUUGAGCUAAUCGGGGUCCAACCUGUAACCCUAACUGGAAGGGUGUUAAUACCGUGCCACGGGUACUAACAAUAGCUGAGUGGAUUCACUAAUCUUAUAUAAUAUCCAAAGGAAUAAGGGUGUCAAGCUUGAAUUGGAGGGUGACCCCUACGAGAUAGUCAAACCUAAUCUGACGGGUGGCUGCUCAUAACCUACGUUGGCUACGUAGUUCUGGGGUAUAGGGACUGCUACUAAUGACUCUGCCUAUUUAACGGGGAAUCCUCUAUCCCUACACUUGCUUGGUGCUAAAUCCUACUCCCAACUGAAAGACACUGAGAUACUAAACUGUUCUGAGUUGAAUAACUGAUAGCUGACUAUUUUGAUAAUGCUCAUAAUAUAAUCUGAAGACUAUUAUGUAAUGUACUGAGACUAGACUAAAUAAAAAGCUAUGGUUUUUGAGUAUUCAAUACCCCCAGGACUCAAAACAACAAUACUGAAAAGACACUAAAGUUUGAAGGCUAAAACAUGAAGGCUCUUAUUAAAUAAAUCGCUCUUGUAGGUAUUUUAUCAAACACUUGUACUUCAUAGUUUAGUUAAUUCAUGGGGAAUAGUAUAAAACUUGAAAUAAUAGCAUGACUUCAACAUUUAUAACACUAAAUCAUGAUCUAAUUCAAAUAAUGACAAUAUUAAAGCAUGGGGGAUUUGAUAACAACAGUAAUUCCAUUAAAGUAUGGUAUAAAAUCUAUAUUCAUGGAAGUUCAUGGAGAUUCACAGUUUUAAAUCACAAUUUAAUAUCAUGAGUCUUGAAAAGAUGAUAGAUUUGUAAUUAAAAUAGAUACUUGGACUCUAUGGAUAAAAAGAAUCCAUAGAUGAACAUCUAACAUACCUGGGAUGAUGAAUUUAGAAGGAUUAAUGGAGAGUUCUUGAGAUUUGACCUUAAUUCUUGAGAACUAGGGUUUCUUGUUCUUGAAAGAGAGGAUUUUUAAUUUGAGAGAAAGUGAAAAAUGAUUCAUGAUAACUGGACGGAUCGCACGGCCAUCAUGCUGGCGAUGCAUCAUUCAAAUUUCUGCCCUAUCAACUUUCGAUGGUAGGAUAGUGGCCUUGAUUUCGGACGAGGCGGUGAUUUUGUGCGUGCGGCGAGUCCUGGAUGCUUCUCUCGGGUGAAGCUCCAGGCGUUGCACUUAUGCAGCCGAGCCCAAUCCGCGAUGAGCGCUGGCGGCCGGCGUGGGCGGCGCCCGUGCAUGAGCCUCGGCGUGCCUUCAUCUCCUCUGCUCCCCCCAAGGGUGGGAUAUCGUGUCAAGCAGGACUUGCUUUAGCGAUGCAUGCGCCCGCCGUCCGCUUGCCGACCCGCAGUAGGGGCCUCGACCCCCAAGGGCACGUGUCGUUGGCUAAGCCACCACGGUGAAAGGGUCGCGGUGGCCGCAGAAAGUACAAUUUCUCUCCAGUUGCGAUGCCGCUAUUUUUUGUGAAAUUCCACUUGAAAUCAUAUGCUUAACUGUUUGGAAUGGAACGCACGCAACGCUUGAAAAACAAGAGGCUAACUCGGGGCUGCUGGCGCUUGAUUUUGGAUGAGUUGGUACUUUUGUGCGUGCGGCGAGUCCUGGAUGCUGCUCUCGGGGCAAGCUCCAGGCGCUGCACGCAUGCGGCCAAGCCCAAUCUGUGGCCCCGAUUGGAUGUGGAACGGCGAUGAGCCGGUUCACCGAUUGACUCGGGGCGUGGACCAGCGUGGAUUGGGGGGGCGCCCAAAAUCUGAGCUCUCGAUACGCUCGAUCGGUGCACACCAUAGGUGGACCAGCCGGCCCAUCCCAAAGUCCAACUAUGAGCUUUUUAACUGCAACAACUUAAAUAUAAGCUAUUGGUGAAUCAACGGUUCCUCUUGUACUAGGUUGAAUUACUAUUGCGACACUGUCAUCAGUAGGGUAAAACUAGCCUGUCUCACGACGGUCUAAACCCAGCUCACGUUCCCGAUUGGUUGGUGAACAAUCCAACACUUGGUGAAUUCUGCUUCACAAUGAUAGGUCAAUUAGGGGUUAAAUUUUGUGUUUAGGGAUUAGGAAAAAGACCCAAAUACCCUUAAACAAAUUAAAAAAACACAAGUUGGAAACUGAAAUCCCAAUUUUUGGCCUUGGUGCGAUGCACCAUUAUCACGCCAAGCCACUGGAAAAGGGAAAAUUGGGACCUGGACAAAUGCCGCGCCGCAAAACCAUCGCGGUAGGCCUGUAGAUGCCAAUUUUUCCAUCUCCACGAUGCGCCAUGAUCGCGGAGACCCACUGAAAAUUGACAAAUAUCAAAUUGACCUAUGGGGAGAUGCUCCAGGAUUGUGGACCCUCACUAGAUUUUGCCAAAUGGGAGAUUGGUCUGCUCCACGAUGCGCUAAAGGUUAAAAUGAUGGGGUUUUGCGACUGAAACUUAAAAUCGCCAUAACGUCUUACCCGGUUAUCGGAUUUGGACUAAUUUUAUAUCGUUGGAAAGAUAAUUGAAUUUCCUACGUAAUGUUAGGAUCUAAACUAAAAAAUAAUGAGUGUUUCAAAAAUUUUAUAUACGAAUACUCAUGUAAUUGGACUUAGAUUAUGCUAUGGAAAUACGGGGUGUUACAACGUCGAUGCCUAUAUGGCUAAAUACACUAUGAAAUUUGUAAAUUUUUUAUUAGAGUUCAAUGAUGGUUCUUUUAAUGAUGAGAAAAAAUAGUGUCCUUGGGUAUAACUGUGAUGCAAGAGAGACCUUGUUGAGUUUUAAAACUAACCUAAGAUCAAGUCAACAAUAAAGAUGAAGGUUUCUAUAGGGAAAUAGAUUAUGGGAUCCUGAAAUUCAGACUAGCAUGAGUAUUUUAGGUGUGGCACCUUGUUUCUCUGAGUAGGGUUGGACGUGGUAAGAAUGUGUUAGAAUUAGACUUUAGUCCUUGUAUGUGCCCAUGUGAGAAUUGUACUUUAAAAAUAAUGAAGUGUAAUAUUCAGGGGGAAAAGUUAGGUUCAAAAGGUGUUGCUAAGAUCUAAUGCUACCAGUAUUAGAGGUGAAAAUACCCGUAUUCCUUUGUCUAAUGCACCCCAAUUUCAUGUUAUGUAACUUCAGAUCGAAUGGGACUCAUGUCUAAGUCUUCGUCAUGUCAUUCAUGCUCUAUAAACCUUAUUUAGAUAACUAAGAUACCCUUAUAGUUCAUACCUAAAUUCAUGUCUUACAUUGUUAUGUUCAUUUCCCAUAAAACCCAUGUCCUAUGAUAUGUCUAUGUUAAGUCUCAUGCAUUUCAUGACUCAUGCCUAUUUGUUUCUUCUAUGGCUUGUUACGACGCUCCACAUGUUAGGAAAGUUUAUGUCAUUAAGAAAUAUUUCAAGAGAGACUACAAUAUUUUAGUAUUAUCAUAUGAGGUACUCAUCCAUGCCCAUCAUCCGAGGACGAAUGAUCCCAAGGUGGAGAUAUUGUAACACCCUAAACUUUCGGGCUAAAAAAGACUAAUUGGUACGCUCUUCAUAUGUACUUAUACUUGAAUCUAGAAAAUUUAUAGUAUCUAGGUGUAAAGGUUAUGUCUUAAGCGUAGGGGUGUUGGAUAUAAAUUAAGGGUAUAAUAAAUCUCUAAAUAAAUUUGAGUUAAAAGGUCCUUUAAUGAUUAAGUUUUCGUAUAGGUUCAUACAAGGAACAAACUUAAACAACCAUUUCUCCUAGAAUACUUAGAAUUACAUGACCCAUUACCUACCAAAUUAAAUACUUUUGAAUCUUCUUUCCAAUGCCACCAAUAGCUCAUAAAUUGGAGUCUCGAGUAAAAAGUUACGUGUGUUUUGCUAAGAACAGUCAGAACAACUGAUAACGCUCAACUUACACGUCAAUUUAAGUGCAAGGAGGUCAUCGUUGAUAUAUUUACCCAACUUUGGAGUCGAGGUCAAAUCCACGAGGAACAAUAUAAGUGACAAUCAAGUUACUUCAAAAUAAUAGAUACAAGUUAAAUUCAAACUAAUGACACAAAAAGGUAAAAAUGGGGGAGAUAGGUAUGUACACUAAUGUUUAUUUUUUUGGUUUUUCUAGUAUAAAUUUGGGGCUAUGAAUAAUUAGAAUUUUAAAAGUAUGUACAGAUCUUGGGAUUAUGCAUUACUAAGGGAGUGAUAUGUGGAUGUUAGCAAUCAACAUCAAUUUAGUAAGUCAACUAUGGGUAGGUUUGGUUAUAGAUUUUGAUGCUAGUCUUUCAACAAAACACCAAACUUUCACCCAUUGAUUCUUUCAAAUACCUAAUAGGUGUGUUCAACAAUUAGUAACCACAAUCUCAAUCUAGGCAUCCCUAUUUCUAGGAUGAUACCCAUGGUAUAGUCAACCUCACAUUCACCCUUAUGUCUAAGAUAGUGAAAAUUUAGCAAACUACACACACAAUUGCUUAUCAUUGCUUUGGUCUUCACAUCCUUCUUUCAACGAUGAUAUGAAUUCCUAAGCUUGACCCAAAACCCUUCUUUCAAAGAUGGCUUUGGGUUUUGCUAGAGAAAGGAGCUUUCACUUAUUAUAUCCAUGUAGGUAUUUGGGGUUUUCACCAUCAAACCCCAACCAAGUUAGCAUAGCAAUGAUAAAACCCAUAAAUAUAAACUCCUAAUUAGAAGCUAAUCAAUAGCAAACCACACAUACUUUAACCCCUAUUCACACAUAACCCUAAGAGGAAAAUCUAGAUACACAUAAGAUAAAUAAGCAUAAAUAUACCCAUAAUCUCUAUUGAAGUGAUCUAUUGAAGCUUAAGUGAAUGUUACUUCUAACUUGGCAGUCCUAUAAAUCAACAAUAGAAGUGAGCUAAUCUUACACUUAGAAAGUCUCCUAUGUAUUCUUCACCCAAAAACUAUACAAUAUUUUCUUCUCCAAAAAUGAAGGCUAUGAACUCAAGAGCUAAAUCUAAAAAUUGGGGAAGAUGGAAUAUUAUACAUUAUGCCAGGGUUUGAAUUAUUUUGUCAAAAUUGGGAUCAGCCACGUGCAUUUAUAGUAUUUCCCUUGGGUUGAUUUCUUCCGCUAAGUCGCGAUCGCGCGGGUCUGGCUGCGACUACGGUUAUGCGACCAUGGGUAACUUCUGCGAUCACGGUUGAAUGACUUUUGCUUAACUGUUGCAAUCACGGUCUGAUAACUACGACUGCGGUACCUGAGGCCUUUCUGCUCCAAUUCUUCAGCUGCACUUUUCUUGCUCCCUUUUGAUCGGUUUCAGCUCCAAUCCACAUAUUUUGAUCUCCUCAACUCUAUGCUUGCAAAGAGUGGAUAUUAGUGCAUUUUAUCACCAAUAUGUCUCAUUCAUUCAUUAAAAACAAGGUAAUGUGCACAAAUGUUUAGCGAGAAUGAGUGGUAAAAUUAUCACUCAUUAACAACCUACUAGAUGAAAAUUUCUAUUCUUUUCAUAUCUUUUCACAUCCAGGAGGGGUGAUUUCGUCCUUUCCUUUUCCCAUAACCCCUAAUAUCUUUUAAAAACACUUUCUUUUCAAUUUCAAAGAUUUUUCAUCCCUUAACACCUCUAUCCUUUCUCUCAAAUUCAAGCUUAAGAAAUAUAAGAGAGCUCAUGAAUCAAGCUUAGUUUUGUUCCCUCCAAUCUCUAGUUUCUCCAAUGUUUGAAGGUAUGUAAAACCAUCUUUAUGUAUUCUUCAAAUUCAUGUUCACCAAUUUAAUUUGUUCAAGAUAAACUAGAAUUGAAGAAACUCUCAUACUCCUAUCCUUAAUUAAAUGCAUAAAUAUAUUUUCCCUAGAUACUUUGGGUAAGAAAAGAAAAGUAACAUCUUUCUUUGUUCAUCAUCUUUCAUCUUCUUAACUGUUCAUAUGGUCAGAACCAAUUGUAGCUCUAUAAACGUUCGCAUAACCAGUUGUAUAACUAUUACACUGGUUGUAUAACUGUUCCGUCAGUUGUAAGACCGCUUCACCGGUUGCUUUUUGUGAUUUUCUUCCCGUUUUCGUAAAAUAUUGACCUGUUGGCCUGUUAAAUAGCUCUUUGAAAAUUGAACUUCCCAUAUUGAUAUUGUUAUAUUCUUAGAUUGGGAGUUUGAGUUCACUUUUUACUAUUAAUAGCUGCUUUAUCUCCUAUUGGGAUCUCAUGUCAAUCUAUUUUCUAGAAUCUCAGGCAGUAGAUGAUUUAUAAUACAAUAUCUUAGCCCAAUCUUCAAGGUCAAAAUCUCAGCCAUACCAUCAUGUGAAUGUUUUAAUUAAAGUUAUAAGAUAUAAUUUAUGAAACUCUUAAAAGUAUAAUUCUUGUUCCAUAAUCCACAAGAAGGAAACCUUCCCGCAACAUUUUAAAACUCUUUUCACUGUGAUUUAUACAUUAUGAAUUUCCAAGUUUUAGUAUAAUAGUACCAACUUCCCAGGAAUUCCCCAUUGAGCUAAUAGAUAAUAAUAUUAAUAUGAGUAUUUUUACAAGAAUGCUUCCAAUCAUGUACAUGAAUUAUAUCAUAUCGAACCAUGAAAUCACCUAUCAUGACUCUCCAAUAUUGAUAGUGUUAACUCAUAAAUAUGAACCUAUUACGGUUAACUCUCAAUAUGAGCCUAAAGUGGCAAUACAUAAUUAUGAGCCUAAAAAGGCUAAACUAUGAACAUGAACGUAACAAGACUAACAUUUUGAUCAAGAACUAAUCAGAUAAAUAAGAUAACGUCAUGAGCAUAAGGGAGUUAGUUACCUAACUAUGAAGGCAUAGGUUGAAAUGACAAAUGCCUGAAACUAUAUUUGCCGACAUAGAAUAGAGAUUAUUCCGCAAGUUGGAUGACUCUUGUUUUUCAUGUGUCCCAAAAAGGGGAAAACCAUGGAUACUUGCUAGAAAAUUAUGUCAUGUCAUUUCCUAUUCCCGGCAAGGUAUAGGAUGACUUAGCUGAUCGAGCUGAGAUCAGACUCUAUGCGCUUAUAUGGUAGUUUAUGACGGUUCAUUAUGUUCUCCUACAAAUAAUCAAAGGAAUUAAAUCUACCUUACUUGGUCAAUUAUAAAUUUAGUUUAUUUUCUUGUUCCUUUCCAGAUGUCAUCAUUUACAUUUGAAUUUUAUUGUCAUUUGUAAUCUCUUGAUGUACUACCCUCUUAAAAUGGUUUUGCUUACCAAUACAUUCCAUAUAUUGACCAUCUUUGGUGCUACAUCAUUUCAUGAUGUAGGUUCUGGAUCUCAUGUCUGCGGUCAGGCGCAUCAUUAGGAUUAUCAUCUUCUGCUAUUGGUGAGCCUCUUUUCUACCAGGGGUAAAUUUAGAUAUGACAAUUUCUCUAUGUUUCUUUCAGUAUCAGGAUAUACCGGGGCCUUUUCCCGACAGUUAUAGUUAGUCAUUAGAGGCUCCACAGACUGGUUUAGUUGUCAGAUAGAUCUUGUAAUUCUUAGUCUUAUUUAUCAUGACUAUUCUAUCUUCAGAUGUUAUGAGAUAUUAAUGAACAUUGAUGAAAGACUUUCUCCUUUAAGAAAUCUUAUUUUAUACUUUUUCCUCUUUAUUCAUUCUGUUAGUUGUAUGCUCAUAUGAUAUGCCAAAACAUCUGUUCGUACUAGAAAUAGUAUUAGGUGCGUGCCACGUCUAGGGCCCCGACGCAGGAUGUGAUAAACUCAAACCUCAGCGAGGAUGCUGAGUCCAUGAAAGGGGUGUAUGUGACACCCCAACUUAAUAUAAGGAGGCCUACAUCGGCAAAACUCUGGAAGGAUACCCGGCAUAUAAGUAAGAAAGCCCUACUUCCCAGUAACGUAUUUUAAAGACGUGCGGGCCUGGGCCCCAACUUGGGUCAUAAUAAGAAUAGUAUUAGAGCCACUCCUGUGUCAGCAUUAUCGAUGUGAGCUAGAGUUCAAACUGAGUUCAGGAAAAUCUCAGUAAGGUAGGGAAAACCUCAUUCCUUAGUCUAGGCAAAACCCAUUCAGUGGGAAAAACCUCAACGACGACGAAGAGUCCAUAAAAGGGGUAUUUAUGACACCCCAACUUAGGAUAAAAAGUCCCAUAUUAGCAAAACACAGGAGGGAUGCUAGGUAUAGAAGUAAGAAAUCCUUACUCCCUAAUGACUUAUUUUAAAGCCGUGUGGGCUUGGGCCAAGAGCGGACACUAUCACUAGUGGGUGGGCUAAGGGGUCUCUCGGGUCUUCGUGGUUUGGGAUGACCGUUGCAGUCAGGGUCCCAACUUGGAUUGUGACAUGAUUUGUCCAAAUAGAUUAUCCAUCUAUUGCAACAUAUGACUCAUCUGUUUGGACAAAUUAAAAUAGGAAUGAAGACCUAUUUGAUUUGCUAAAAUAGAUGAGUUAGUAUCUCUGUGAUUAGCAUUGAAGAUUUUGGCUUUCCAAGUGGAUGUCACAGUAGAAACUAUUGCUGAACAACAUAAUAUCACAGUUGAUAAUCCAUCAACUACUUCCAAAGACAAAGAAAAAAUAAAGCCUGUUAGUUCGGAAGAAUGGAAUAAUUACGCAUUUGAAGGGUUUAACAUCUUUGACGAGGCUUCCAAAAAACUAACAAAGUUGAUCAACGACUAUUUAGGAUGGAUUGGUGAUGGGCUGUUAAAGCUUCAUGCCGGCAGAUACAUAAAUGAUUUUUAAAUAUAUUAAUUUAUACAAUUCUAGUUGUAAAAAUAUGACAUUAACACAUAUAAAUCAUGCCAAAAUAAAAUGAACACUACAAAGUGAACGAAUCCAGUCUUGAUUCUGAUAUAUUCGACUUUGUUAUUGCACAUCCUAGAAUGAAAAAUUGGUUCUACUUGAUGUCACAGCCUCAAACUUGCUGGAAUGAUGAGGUUUAAAUGCCAAACAUCUUACUUUUAGUACUUUAUUUAAUUGUAUUUGUGUAUUAAUUUUACUGUCACGUAAUCUGAAAUGUUUGAUUUGAUAAUAUAUGCAGCACAUCAAUGUCAUUUUUACUACCUCUAAAAGAAGGCCAAGUUGCAAACACAAGAGCAAUACAGAUAUAUGAUAUGCAAUUAUUUGAACAAAGUUUACAUCAACAAUGCCUAUGAUAGGUAUUAUCAACAACAGUCGGGAGUUUCCCAAAAUGAGGAAGGCUUAAUCAACAUCAUCAAAGGUUUUAGCAUUCCAGCUAGCUUACCUAGCAAUUUGUUGAUUAAGUGGACAUCCCAAUCAAUUACCGUGAUGAAUUUCAUUGGGUGUUGGCUAUCAUCAUUCUAAAAGAAAGGUGCAUCUGAGUUUACGACUAGAUGCCGGGAAGGAGGCGUUUUGGACCAUCAUCUAAAAAAGCUGUCCAAAAUAUUGCCUACUUACCUUGAUAUAAGUGGAUUUUUAACCCAAAAGAUUGUGUAAUUCCCCAAGAAUACAUCCUAGAUGCCACACAGUGCUUACAAUUUCGAGGGACCAUAAGCUAACCCAUGAGCUGGUACCUGCUGUGAGCACUGAAUAAUAUAAUAACAUAUGAGGAAGAACAACUGAUAAGCCAUAAGGUUUUAGCAACUGAACUCAAUACUGGAUCAUAAAUAUGGAAACAACUGCUGAAAACAACUGUCUGAAACUAAUAAAAUAAUAACAAAACUGAUUGAUUGUCUGUACUAGUCUGAAAAGCCUCUACUGACUGAUUAUGGAGUUGAUGGGACAAACCCCCAACUAACUUUGUCUGAAUGGAAAAAUACUGAACUGAUGAAAUAAUUUAGAUAAAUAAACCAUGUCCUCGAAAUAUGAGGACUCACCACCGCUACAGCUGAUAAUCUGGUAUGUCUAUACGCGAUCUGGGAACUACGCAUCCGAACCUAUGAUAUGAUACAUCAUAGUGCAACAAAUGAGUAUGCGAUCAGUACUUUGAAUAUACUGGUAUGAUAAAUGAGGUAGGCUCAUAUGCAGGUUUCAUGUAUAGUAGUAAUAACUGACUGAAUGAAUAGCAUGAAGUACUGACUAGAAGGCAUGAAAUUUGUAAAUACUGAAAAUGCAUGACCAAGAAUAAAUUAUGUUCUGAAUAUAAUCUAUAAACUGAAAUACUGAGUACUGAUAUAUGAGUAACUGAUAUCUUUAUGCUAUGGUCAAUCAAAAUUGAAACUGAAUUACUGAGUUGAUUACUAGACUAAGACUGUGGGAGCUAUCAUCUAAUCGAUAUUCUCCAAUGAGCAAAUUGGGGUCCAAACUGUGACCCUAGUUGGAAGAGUGUCAGUACCAUGCCACGGGUACUAACACUAGCUGUGUGGGAUCCACUAAAGUAUUAUCCCGAAGGACUAAGGGUUACCUUUAACUGGCAGGUACCCGUAUGAGAUCAACCCUUAACUGGCAGGUUAAUAUCUCAACUUAUGCUGGAUACGUAGUUAUGGAACACGGGGACUGCUACUAAAGGUCACACCCUUAACUGGUAGGUGAUCCCCCAUCCUUGGGUUUGCUCGGUGCUAAAUCCUACUCCCAACUGAACUGACUCGGGCUACUGAACUGUUUCGAGUUUAACUGAUUAUGAUAACUUACUGAACUAAUAAUGCUCAUAACAUAUUUGAAACCAUUCUGAAGAUACUGAGACUAAGUAAACAACUAUAUUUUCGGGUAUUCAUAACUCCUAGGACUCGAUAACAAUAAUCGCAAAAUAGUACUAAAACUUUAAGAACAUAAUGUGUAAGCAUUUAUUCAAAAUUCAUUCUUGUAGACAUUUCAUCAAACACUUGAUAUUCAUAGUUUAAACUAAGCAUGGGAAUAAUUUAAAGCUUGUAGAAAUAGCAUGAUUUCAACACCAACAUCACUAAUUACGAUUUAAAUCAACACCUAACAUUAUUCAAACGUGUGGGGUUUAAUAACAACAAUAAUUUCAUGUAAACAUGGUAUAGAAUCACAAUUCAUGGAGAGUCAUGGUUAAAAAUCAUAAUAACUUGUAAAAAUAAUAACUUUGAAUUUACAAUUGGAUACUUGGACUCCAUGGAUGGAAGGGACCCAUGGAUGAACAUUUAACAUACCUGGGUUGAUGAAUUCGUCGGAGUUUUUAGGGUUUUUCUUGAGAAUUGAUCUUGAAUCUUGAAGGCUAGGGCUUGUUAUUGAGAGAAGAUUAGUUUCUUUGAGUGAAAUUAUGAGUAAUGGGGCACAUAAUGCCUCUUUAGGGUUGUAAUUACGUGUUUUGGAUGGAUUUGGGGCUAUGGAACAAGACCAAAUGGUCCCUGGAAAUUUAAUACCCGGACUGAUAAUUCCAACUUUACAUGCCGGUGUGAUGCAGUGCGUAUUGCGUUGGGUUAAUGGAAACGGACAAUCCCCAUUCUGUCCAACGGCGCGACACGGUGCUAUUGCGUUGCGCCACUAGAAACGGACAAUUUUAAACUGGCACCAUGACGCAUCGUGGUGCCCCACUGAACAUGAAUUUCCCCCUUGGUAUGAUGCGGAGUUAUCAUGGUGGUCCACUAGAAAAGGACAAAUAUUAUUUUGGCCAUCUCCGCGAUGCGACCUUAUCGCGAUGGGCCACUGCCUUUCACUAAAAGUGUCAUAACUUCUCACUUGGGUAUCGGAUUUAAGUGAAAUUGGUAUCGCUGGAAAGCUAUUCAAUUUCUUAUAAUUUGGUGGGUCUUGAUCUAGAAAAUUCUCAUUAUAAUAAAAGAUAGUCUCGUUUGAAGUUGACUAAAGCAACAUUCUUCCCGAAAACUCAAUCAGUAAGGAAUAUUUUGAUUCGUCUAAUAGCCGGGAGUUAUUUGAAGCCUUAAUAUACAUCAAAAUCAUUCAUAAACUACCAAAUAACUAUAAUUUACUCUGAAUGAUAUUGAACCAUGUUCCUAACAUUGGUUUGGAUUUUUGGGGUAUUACAGGUUUGUACUAAUUGGUUGACAAUUGAAGCAUACCGGGAUAAAAUGGGCAAUUCAUUUGAUGUAGAAUAUGUUGAAGGAAUUUCUCAACAACCCGUUGGUAGCCUGUAAGUAUAAAUCAAGUAUCAUGAUUUAUUUUCAUUUCAUAAAUUUCACAACGCUUACAUUAAUUACAAGAUAUUGAUUAUCUAAUUUUUACAAACGCAGAAAUUGCGGUCUUAUUGUUGCCGCUUACGCUGAGUAUUUGAGCGAUAGAUUACAAGUACCAAAUUAUGGAAUUGAUGUUGGAUUACUCCAUAAAAGACGUGCUACUCUUUUAUGGAAAUACGGAGAAAUGAAAGCUCAGAAAUCGUAUGCAAGCGACAUUAAAGAUCCACGAUGACCAAAACUGAAUUCCACAGCACCAGAUAAAGAAUAACUUGACCAUAUUGAGUAUAUCUUUACUGCAUGAGUCCGUCAAUGUAAUAACCUCUCCUUAGGAAUUGUUGGCACCAAAACUUAAAUUGUUAAUUUAUUGUUGAGAUCUGUAUCCAUAAUAAUUUUUUUACAUUUUAUUUAUUUGUUGAUUUAUUUCAUGUAAUUUCUGAAGGCUUCGAUCCAUUUUAUUUUGUCUAUGUUAUCCUUAUAUUUGAAAUUAUUAAUUAAAAUGGAAUACUACAUUUUAAUAUUGCAAUAGAUAAUGUAUCUGUUGCAACAAACGACAUAUCGAUUGGAAAUUAUCAAACUGAUUUGGACAUAUAUUACAACAUGUAGGUCAUCUGUUUGAAAUUAUCAAACAGGUCUUCGUACUGUUUUGAUUUAUUCCAUUAGAUGACCUAUUUGUUGUAACAAAUAGACUUGGAUAUAAACAUUUGCAUAAUACAAUGGAUGACCAACCUAUUGCAACAAAUAAACUAUCUGUUAGAACAGAUAAACUAUCUGUCUGAACAGAUAGACUAUCUGUUACAAUAGAUAGACAAUCUGUUGGAUUAUACAAAAUUCAAUUUUCAUCAAAUAUAAAAAAUUAUCAUGACAUAAAAUUUGUCAUGGUGUUUGUGUUUCUACGUCUUCCUUUUUAUACAUAGGCUUCAAGCAUUUAGUUAGUAUCCUAUAGGCCCAGACCUCUUGCAUAUUUGCCACAAUGUUGUCGCACAGAAAGGUCGGUGGCUCGGUCAUUUCUUUGUCGGUCAACAAACAUUCGAUGUGUGCUAACAUGUAGGACUCGCAUGCGGCACCAAUUUUAUUUUUUGGAAGGUUAACAUCCUUGUUUCGACCUUUAAAAUCCCAUGCUUACUUCAUUAACACUUUCGCUGGAAAAUGAUCCAUCAGUUUACUCUGCCUCAACAAGUUGGGAAAUAUAUCUAACAGUGGCUGCAUCUGCGUAAAAAUGGCCUCGUCGAAGACAGGUUAGUUGCAGUCAUACACCUUCAUCAUUCCGUCCUCAAGUAGUAUCUCAAGAGCCAUGAAAUAUUUUACCUCCACAUUCAUGACUACAAGGAUUCUCUUUACUGUGGUCCAGCUCUUGCCGUGUGGAUAUGACCUCUUUUCUCUAACAUAAUUAAUCAUAUCUUCAUCCCAUUGGAAUCAGGAAACUAACAAAUCAAAUCCCGGGCCAUCAACAGUUGACGCUAGCUUAAUGAGCUUAUCGUAUCUAUCCUUGAAAUGGUUGUAGAAGUUUAGGUCCAUCAUCCUAUCGACAACAUCAUAAUCAUCCGAGUACGCUAAUUUCCUGCCCCUCAUAAGGUAGAGAAUUUCAUCAACAUAUUGUUAUAUAAGAUAAUUUUUAAAUAGGUUAGUAAUUUUCUUUAAAAAAAAAAAGUGGAAAGAUGUAACUAAUGGUCCAUCUGUUGCAGAGGGUUCUCUGAAUCUGCUUACAAAUUACCCAUAUAAUGCAACUUAUGCAACAUACGGGUAAUUUGUUGCAAAAGAACCAUCAUUAGUUGUACCAGAAUACCCAGUUGUUGCAACAGAUGACACAUAUGUUGUGUGGCUUCUUUUUUAUGGAGUAGAUUAGUAGGUUAGGUUAGGAAAAGUAAACUUACAUUGUCCACAUACCACUGAUGCAUAUCUAUCAUAUUCUUGAAGUCUUAGGGGGAAAAAGUAUGCAUGGUGAAUUCUUUUAUGCAUUGCUUGGAAUUUAUGGUCUUUUGCAGGGCAAACUUCUAUUUAGCGAUAAGUUCCACGUAUAUGUCCACCUUCUUCAAUGGCCCCUGAACUUUAACAACUUUUGGAGAGGGAGGAGUUGUAAUUUUUUUGAAUUCAGAUUAGAGAGUAUAUGUUUAAUUGCUCUUUUCUUCCUCCUAACUGCUACUGUAAGAGUGUAUGGCUUCCUCACCUUCUUAGAUGGUAUGACACCCCUCUUGGAUAUCAAUUUCUCAAUAGCUUUAGUGAUAGCCCCUACUUUUUCAAAGAGUUUAUUUUGUCUGUCCAUGCACUCUUUGUAUUUACAAUGAGAACAAAAGGGUGAAGAGGGGUGAGAGGGACCACUAUAAGGGUGGAAGAGAUUGGUGUAAGGGUGAGAGAGACCUAUGUAAGGGGUGUUUUCACAUGCUCAUCAUCACGACUGACAACAACAUUAGCAUCAACAUGGCUACCACUAACAUCAACAACUUUACUAGAAACACCCUUAGAAGCAACACCCAAAUCUAUUACAGCAGGUUGUUCAUAAAGAGCCUCAACAUUAAGCUGACCUUGCCUAACUGCUCUUCUUAUAGCUGUUGCUCCAACUAAUUCGUUCCUUAUUAAAUCCAACAUUGGGUCUGCUAUUGUAUCAACAAGACCUAAAAUAAUAAAAAAAGUCACCCCCAACUCCUACUCAAUAGGCACGAUUCAUGGAUGAACAACCUAUAAAAAAGACAGAUACAUUUAAAUCAUAUAAUAAUUUACAGUCAGUUGGGUUACAUAUUAACACAAACAACUUAUGUAAUAGAUGAUCUUUCUAUUGCAAUAGAUGAUUCUUAUGUGUCAACAAAUUAAUUAUUUGUUGCACUAGAUUACCCAUCUAUUGCAUAAUUUGUAGCAGAUAGGUAAUAUGUUGAGUUGGGUUUAGAGAACCAAAGCAAUAAAUGAGUAAUCUAUUGCAAAACAUGAAUUAUCUAUCGCAAUGGAUUACUUAUCUAUUACACCAGUUGCAGUAGUCGUGUAAUCUGUUACAACAGAUGACCCAUCUGUCGUAAUAGAUGAACCAUCUAUUCCAAUAUUUUCUUUGAGUCAAAUUAUUUUACUUGGAAGAAGACUUAUUGCAUCAUCAGGAGGGUUAAAGAGAUCAACCUUUUUAAUUCUUGUGUUGCUCUUUGCAGCCAACCACCUAAGGAUCCUUGGAUGAGAAACCUCAUCCGGAUAAUUAUUAACCUACUUUUGGAGGAGAGAAAUGACUUCAAAUGCCCAAGCCUAAAAAAUGUAAACAGGAAUCAAGCCAAAAGAAGUCAUAAUAAUUAUUUUUUUUGGUAAAUAAAAAUUUUAUUAAUACCAAAGUGAGUCUAUUACAAAACCAUGCAAUAAGCUGACCUCUUGCCUCUCAGAAAAGAAAAAAAUCUAUAGACUAGUAUAUCCUAUCUAUUACAUGUUCCGUUUUAGCACAACACUAGCAGUACUUAUGGAAAACUAUUCAAUUGCUGAAGUAGAGUCUACCAGCGAGCAAUUUCCCUGCCAGUGAUAUGCACAUGUAGUGCAAUUUCCCUGCAUAACAUGUCAGCAUAGUAGUGUCCAUCUUGAAACCUCAGUCUAUUUUUUCUCUCUAAAUUAUAGUUACCAGCAUGCCAAAUGAUAGAUCCCUUUUCUAUCUUCUUCUUUGCCCAUGUGGUUGCCCACUGUAUUUCCUCUUGCCAGCAGCCAAUGGUCUUUUCAAUUUUCAACUAUUUUAGUAAUCUUUUCUAUAGAUUCUUGGUGACUGUGCAUUCAAAGAAUAAGUGUUCCGAUGUUUCUGUAGUUGAGUCACAAAAUAUACAAAUUUGAGGCACAUGAAUGCCAAAUUUCAGCAACCUAUCCACAGUUGCUAGCCUCCUUCUUAUAGCUAGCCAUAAGAUAAAUUUAUGUUGGGGAUGAAUAUUCUGUUGAAGUGUGAUGCUCUUCUAGGGUACCUAUUGGUACUGAGGUAGUAGUUGGAUAUAUAUUUUUCGGAUGCUAAACUUACCAUUAGCUACCAUAACUUGGAAUCUAGUCUCAAGGCUCCCCUGCAUGGCUGGGCAAUGCAUAAUACAUGUUUUUGAUGCUAAGAUUUUCCGGAUGACCCAUGUUGCAUUUUUUGGAAUAUUGUAGGUUUCUACCAUCUCAUUCUUUAAGUACUACUCUUGAAUCCACUUGAUCCAGAGGUUUUUAGUAAAUCAUCUACAAAGCUGAUGUGGACCACCCCAAUCGUUUUGCACCUGAGAUGAUGCCUAAAAUCUCUGUGUUGCUGCAUAAGUUGGAAUUAUCUGUGGAGAUAUUCCAUUGCAAUAAUAAACAAGUAAGGGGACAUAGGGUCCCCUUGUAUUAUGCCCCUCUUCCCCUAAAAUGGCUUUGACAGGCAUCCAUUGAUAACAAGGGAAUAAGAAACAGAGGUAACAUACUCCAUAAUAUAUGCUAUGAAUUUGCAAGGAAAGUCUAAUUCAGCUAAUAGAACCUUCAAAAAACCCCACUCAAUUGAGUCAUAAGCCUUUCUAAGGUCAAUUUUCAUGACACAUCUAGGUGAUAGCCCCUUCCUGAAGUACCUCUUAAAGAUUUCAUGGCUGAAUAGGAUGUUGUCAACUAUGUUCCUACCUUCCACAAAAGCUGAUUGGGAUGGGUUAACAGUAUGCUAGGCAAUAAUUUUGAUUCUAUUAGUAAGGAUGUUGGUGAUGAUUUUUUAGACCGUGGUGCAACAAGAUAUAGGUAUUUAAUCCCCACAUAAGUUGGAUUGGUUACUUUGGGGAUUAAGGUCACAACUGUACAACUAAAAGAUCUCAAUAAUUUCCCAGAUUCGAAGAAUUCCUUAACAACAUCAAUUAUAUCCUAUUUUAUUAUGGACCAAUUUAGUGUAAAAACUCAGCUGGGAAACCAUCAAUAUCAGGGGAUUUAUUAUAUGGCAUACCUUUUAUAGCUUCAUAGAUUUCCUGCUCUGUAAUAGGACUGAUCAGCUUGCAUUUCUGAUUAUAUGACAGGCAAGGUCCACUUCUGAUAACUUCAAUAUUUGGGCAGGGUAAUUCUAUUGCAGUUGUGCCCAUGAGGUUUGAGAAGAAUCUAGUAAAUUCAGCUUCCACCUGCACUGGAUCCUCUAGCCUGUUCCUUGUUCAUCAUAAAUACUUAUAAUGGCACUCUUGCUAGUUCAGAGCUUCAAUUGUGAAUGGAAGUACUUUGUAUUUGCAUCCCCACCAUCUAUCUAAUUGACUCUAGAUUUCUGUCUAUAGAUCUAAUCUUCAAUUUUAUUCCAUUUCUUGAGUUUAGUUAACCAAUCUUUUUCUUGUUCAAUUAAUGUGGGACAUAGAGAUUUUUCAAUGAGUAGGGCUUGAGUGAUCUCCAGGCCUUGUUUAGCUUACUGGAUCUUCUAAUUAUAAGAAGCUACGUGAGUGUUCAAUCCCUUUAAUCCUUUCUAAAUUGACUUUAGUUUACACCAUAGGAUGAAUAUUUUUGUCCCCUGAAAGAAGGUGCCCCAUGUAUCUUCUAAUAUCCUACCAAAAUCAGGAUAUUUCAACACCGUCAUGUAUAAUUUGAAAGACUUUGGAUCUGAUAGUGGUUGAGAUCAUAUGCUAAUAUGAUGGGGGAAUCAUUAGAGACUCCAAGAUUCAAGUACUAUGCCUCAACAUAACCGUAAGUAGAUAUCCAGUGAGAGUUUCCAAAGGCCCAAUCUAUUUUGGAAUACACUCUACUGCUAGGGUCCUGCCUAUUACAGAAAUGACAACCCUUGGCUUUGAGUGCUGUGAGGGAGAGGGUAUUGAUACACCCUUGGAAGCUGUCAACUUCAUUAGGAAGAACAGGUGGCCAAUUCUAUCAUCUGAUAUCAAGACAUUGUUGAAAUCACCACUUAGGAGCCAGACAUUCUGAGUAUGUUGUCCCAGUUGGAUUAGUUCUUUCCACAGUACAUCCCUAUUAUGAUUUUCAUUUAUCGCAUAUAUUAUUGUAAGGUAAAACUAGUUGUGAUUUACAGUGACCUCUACCUUACAAUGUAUAACUUAUUCAUGGAGGAGUUCAACCUGUAAGUUAAUAUUUGCCUUUCAGAAUAUCCACACCCUACCAUUAUAGGCCAUAGGAUAGUUACAGCUAUGAUUCCAUCCACUUGCAACCUUCUCUAGUACCUUUUGUGACUUAUUAUCUUUCACCCUAGUUUACAAUACACCUAUUAUCUCCACUUUAUUCUUUUGCAGAAAGAGUUUCAACUCUUUUUAUUUAGAGGUCUGGUUUAGCCCUCUUAUAUUCAAAUUUGCUACUAUCAUGGAGGUUUUUGAGGCAUCUCCUUAAUUCCAGCAUUACUAGUACCUUCCUGUAGUAACACUGCUAAUCUAUUCACUGUGUUGCUGGUACUGGCUUUAACCUCCUUUUAUUUAGUGCUUCUUAUCGCAGUAACCCCUUAUUCAUGUAUGGUUGCAUUAUCCUCCCCAUUUUGUACCUCCAUUGGUUUUGCAUCUUUCAUUGUCCUAUCCUGUCUCAUGGGUGAGGGUUGUCCUUUUUUUUGUUCCUUUUUCUUGGCCUUUUCUUUACUUCCUGGAAUUCAUAUUCCUUUGUGGAGUUUUCUUUUAUCCAACAAUCAUUUGUUGUGUGACCAAAUUUCAAACAUUCACUGCAAAAUUUAAGUCACCAAUCGUACUUUACAGAUUGUUGAAAGCUUCCCCCAGGAGUGAUUAGUUCAACAGUAUCUGGGAGUGGCUGGGCAACGUCCACUUCUACCAAGAUUCUAGCAUAAGAGAUGUGACUCAUAUUCGUAGUAAAUUGAUCCAUAUAUAAUGGCCUCCCUACUAUACUUGCAACUUUGCUUAGAGCUUCAGUUGACCAAUAACCCACCGAUAGACUAGGAAAAGUUACCCAUAAGGGUAUUUUAGUAACAUAAUCAGGGUAUGAAAUUUACCUGCCAGUCCUGAAGCACAAAGGGCUUAUUGUGAAAGGUGUAUGGAUCCGCCUACUUCGCCCUUUCAUAAGCCUCCAUAGAAUCAAACCAAAAAAGGAAGUAUCCCUCAUUAUGCUGUAGUACCUGGGGUUUAUGUGCAAAGCUCCAUAUCCGUGAAAUAUAACUUUCCAUUGCUUUUAGGUAUGGUGUAUCACCUAUGAUGUAUCCAAUAAUAGCCGUUCUACAAUAUUUCUCUUGUUCAUUGAGGUCAGACGCCUCAAUAUUCACAACCAGUUUCCCUUCUUUCGAACUCGGUUGGACAUAAGAAAACAUCUUACUUUGUUACAUGGUAUGAUUCUCAUGGAUCUCCUAUUUGCCUACUGGGGUUGGUUAGGUUGAAGUACUCGCCUCCAAAAGUUGCAAUCAUUGAGCUGCCUGUGCCAUUGUCGAUGGUCCAAAUGAUUACAGGUGAAGUGAUUUUUGCGACUCUGAUUCUGAUUGACUAUCUUCAUUGCCUUCCAAGAUUGACUGUAUAUGAGGUAGAAUAAGCUACCAAAAUUCAGCGAGCCUAGUUGUGUGCUCAAGCCAUCUCCUGGUGUUAUCAGUUUCUCCGUCAGUUUGCCUUUGCCAGUUUUCUGAUGUUGAGGCAUGUUUUGGCUUCCGUCGGUGCAAGUUAGCAUAUCCUAGCUAAAAUGCGUUGAGAGAGCAACAUGCCUUCCAAAGUCCUCAUAAUAAUUAUUCAAUAUAAAUUAAUUAAAGAUUAAACAAAUAGUGAUUAAAUUUAUCAUGAAAGCC
rnacentral:lncRNA from 1 species